GACGAACGCUGGCGGCGUGCUUAACACAUGCAAGUCGAACGGAAAGGCCCUGCUUUUGUGGGGUGCUCGAGUGGCGAACGGGUGAGUAACACGUGAGUAACCUGCCCUUGACUUUGGGAUAACUUCAGGAAACUGGGGCUAAUACCGGAUAGGAGCUCCUGCUGCAUGGUGGGGGUUGGAAAGUUUCGGCGGCUGGGGAUGGACUCGCGGCUUAUCAGCUUGUUGGUGGGGUAGUGGCUUACCAAGGCUUUGACGGGUAGCCGGCCUGAGAGGGUGACCGGCCACAUUGGGACUGAGAUACGGCCCAGACUCCUACGGGAGGCAGCAGUGGGGAAUAUUGCACAAUGGGCGGAAGCCUGAUGCAGCAACGCCGCGUGCGGGAUGACGGCCUUCGGGUUGUAAACCGCUUUCGCCUGUGACGAAGCGUGAGUGACGGUAAUGGGUAAGGAAGCACCGGCUAACUACGU
rnacentral:rRNA from 1 species